rnacentral:sRNA from 1 species
GUUUACAAGCAGAAGCCAUCCGCUUCUCACCUUACGACGCUCCUGGCAAAGCAGCAGUCCAUAAGGUUUCUUUUGAAAGUAGAAUACUACUUUACAAGCGGGUGGAUUAUGCCCGCUUUUAAUUUUCUAU